rnacentral:rRNA from 1 species
UACGUAGGGGGCAAGCGUUGUCCGGAUUUAUUGGGCGUAAAGAGCGUGUAGGUGGCCAUGUAGGUCCGUUGUGAAAACUCGAGGCUCAACCUCGAGACGCCGGCGGAAACCAUCAGGCUAGAGUCCGGAAGAGGAGAGUGGAAUUCCUGGUGUAGCGGUGAAAUGCGCAGAUAUCAGGAAGAACACCCGUGGCUAAGGCGGCUCUCUAGUACGGUACUGACGCUGAGACGCGAAAGCGUGGGGAGCGAACAGG